rnacentral:rRNA from 1 species
GUGGGGAAUAUUGGACAAUGGGCGAAAGCCUGAUCCAGCAAUGCCGCGUGGGUGAAGACGGCCUGCGGGUUGUAAAGCCCUUUAGGCGGGGAGGAACGACGGGGCGUGAAUAACGUUUCGGAGUGACGUUACCCGCGGAAUAAGCACCGGCUAACUCCGUGCCAGCAGCCGCGGUAAUACGGAGGGUGCGAGCGUUAAUCGGAAUUACUGGGCGUAAAGCGUGCGUAGGCGGAUGGGUCAGUCAGCCGUGAAAGCCCCGGGCUUAACCUGGGAACGGCGGUUGAGACGGCCCGUCUUGAGUGGGCUAGAGGAUCGUGGAACUCCCGGUGUAGCGGUGAAAUGCGUAGAGAUCGGGAAGAACACCGAUGGCGAAGGCAGCGAUCUGGGGCCACACUGACGCUGAGGCACGACGGCGUGGGGAGCAAACAGGAUUAGAAACCCGGGUAGUCC